rnacentral:misc_RNA from 1 species
CAUAUCUGCCUUAAGGAAUAAUGAUCUCCAGUUCCAGUAUCAUAGUUGUCCUCAAAAACAAGAUGUUGAAAGCCAGCAUUCAAUGCUUGCUUUACUCUUUUUAAUUCAUUCUGAUGGUCGUCAAAGAAGAUAAGAACUCGACUGAGAUCAGUAAUCCCAUGUUUCUUCAUCACAUUCUUCCAUUCAACACUUCCAAAAUCCACAAAAUCUUUUCCAGCAAAGUAGCAAUUAUUUCACUGUUAAGCAGGCCCCUUUUUUAGGUAUUUCUCUGGAUGUCUGGGUGACAGUGAAAUAAUUGGUGUGUCUGGCAUUGCUUGUCGCAGAACCCAAGUGGAACGCCCCUUGAAAGCACCACUCUCAAUCAUCAGAUCUGGCUUCAGCCACCUUGCAAUAAACCAAAGCCCAAAGCUGUGGUCAAAACCCAUUCCAUACAUGUUGUUUUUUAUUGGCCUAGUUUCAUAUAUUGGUACAAACUCUUCCAAGCCCUUGAUUAAAUCCUUGGAUGUCCACUCCACAGUUUUUCCAUGUUUCGAUCUGCACCAAGGAACACCAAGGGCUCCAAAGUCCGACUCGAGACCAUCAAGCCCGAAAAAUCCGAC